rnacentral:rRNA from 1 species
UACACACCGCCCGUCGCUACUACCGAUUGAAUGGCUUAGUGAAUCCUUCGGAUUGGCUAUUUUUUUCUGGCAACAGAAUUAAACUGCUAAAAAGUUGGGCAAACUUGGUCAUUUAGAGGAAGUAAAAGUCGUAACAAGGUUUCCGUAGGUGAACCUGCGGAAGGAUCAUUAAAGAGUAAGGGUGCUCAGCGCCCGACCUCCAACCCUUUGUUGUUAAAACUACCUUGUUGCUUUGGCGGGACCGCUCGGUCUCGAGCCGCUGGGGAUUCGUCCCAGGCGAGCGCCCGCCAGAGUUAAACCAAACUCUUGUUAUUAAACCGGUCGUCUGAGUUAAAAUUUUGAAUAAAUCAAAACUUUCAACAACGGAUCUCUUGGUUCUCGCAUCGAUGAAGAACGCAGCGAAAUGCGAUAAGUAAUGUGAAUUGCAGAAUUCAGUGAAUCAUCGAAUCUUUGAACGCACAUUGCGCCCCUUGGUAUUCCGAGGGGCAUGCCUGUUCGAGCGUCAUUACACCACUCAAGCUAUGCUUGGUAUUGGGUGCCGUCCUUAGUUGGGCGCGCCUUAAAGACCUCGGCGAGGCCACUCCGGCUUUAGGCGUAGUAGAAUUUAUUCGAACGUCUGUCAAAGGAGAGGAACUCUGCCGAUUGAAACCUUUAUUUUUCUAGGUUGACCUCGGAUCAGGUAGGGAUACCCGCUGAACUUAAGCAUAUCAAUAAGCGGAGGA